rnacentral:rRNA from 1 species
CAGUAGCCGCGGGAAUACGUAGGGUGCAAGCGUUAAUCGGAAUUACUGGGCGUAAAGCGUGCGCAGGCGGUUAUAUAAGACAGAUGUGAAAUCCCCGGGCUCAACCUGGGAACUGCAUUUGUGACUGUAUAGCUAGAGUACGGCAGAGGGGGAUGGAAUUCCGCGUGUAGCAGUGAAAUGCGUAGAUAUGCGGAGGAACACCGAUGGCGAAGGCAAUCCCCUGGGCCUGUACUGACGCUCAUGCACGAAAGCGUGGGGAGCAAACAGGAUUAAAUACCCGCGUAGUCCCUGUCUCUUAUAC